rnacentral:snoRNA from 1 species
AAAUCCCAAACUUUGGCAGAUGAACAGAACUAUCUGACACAAUUUGAAUUUGCUAUAGCAAGAAAGUCUAACCUAUUCCAUGAUAGGUAGGAAUGUU